UUAAAGUCUACUUGGUUGUAUGGCAUCUUAUUUUUUCUUAUUUUAUCAAAAAUAAGAAAAAGUGAAAAGAGAAAUGAAGCUUGAGACUAAUGACUAAUACAGCACAGGGAACAUGGAAGACGCAUGGAGAAUGGCUUUGUUCUUUGCACACUUGCUCUGGAAUGCCUACUGCUGACCUUGCCACAGCUGUCGCUGUCAUUAGUGAGACCAAAUGUUAGCAAGCACACACAGGCAGGCAGACAGUGUAAAACCCACCACACAACAUGCAAAACGUCAACACGACUUAGGAAUGUCUUCAAGUUCACUUUCACUUCAACUUUUUAACAGCAAAAUAGGAACCAUCAAAGCCAACAUAAGACACACUAGCUCUGUUUAUGCAUGCGAACAUCAGUACCACCUUCAGCUGGGUGCUUCUUAGUCAAUGAACAUCUUCCUUGAGACAGGGUGCACAAGACAUCUUUUGUUCAGUACGAAGCUAACUAUGUUACCUUCCUGGAGGACGCCUCCCCUGCUCCCCCUAAAGGCUGGAACACCAGGUUUACACAAGCCCAGCCAAUGUGCUUCAAAGAAGCAAAGGAUUUUGAGACCCAUCUAUGUGACACUGCUGCCUUUCAGGAGAAACUGAGUGACAGACUAGAGAAAUUUGAAGACAAAAUACUUUGA